GGCUCGGCAGGGAGUGAGAGUCACAGGUGUCGAGCCUACUGCAACAGAAGGAGAGCCGGAUUAUUGUCAGGUAGAGAAUACCGGAAGCAAGAUGAGUCUUUACUAGAGAUCAUGCUUACUUGGAAAGUGAAGAGUAAUGUGCUCCAAGGGAGAUGCAACCAGGUGAGUAUUGAGGUGAGAGGCGAAAUGAAUGAGCCCAAGAUGUCUGACAUUUUCUUCCUGUUGCAGUGAUCUGGCUGAGCAGAAGAGCAGCCAGGUAAGAUGUCUGAGCAUUGUGUUCUUCCAGACCACUGAGGAAAAGCAUCCCACAGAGAAAUUAAAGAGCAUUCAACAGAUGCAGCUGCGCUCAAAAUACCCAGGUUUGCUGAAUAUGUCUGAGAGCCUAAGACUGGACACGCGAAGUCUGGUGCACAACCCCUGAUGAUUUGUGGUACCUUAAUUCCAGAUGAUGUCACUGCAGAAUCAAAGUGGAGUUUGUUAACAUUGAUGUAACCUCCCAGUACAUGUAAAAAAGUAAAAGAUGGAAUAAAGAAGAGACUACCUAGAAUAGAAGCUGUCACGCAGGCCUUCUCUAUAGUGCACAUAACUGGGUUUGUAGUUAAACAUGUCACAUCUUUGCAGGUUAAACACUGAAGGGCUCCCGCUGUGAAGAAAAAAAGUGAAAUUGUGAUCACAUUUUCAUUCACAUUCAUGAGGAUAGCUGGGUUUCACUUUAUUGCUUGAAAUGCUUUAACGGGUCUUAUAAUAUACAACAUACAAUAAUGGUGAGCAAAAAAAACUCUUUACAUAGUAUUUUCAAGCAUGAUUUGACGUUAGAUCCAGUUAAUAAUUAGUCAGGAUAACAUUUAUAUUCCCUUUUAAAAAAUUUUACAAACCUUACAUGUUUGAAAUCUAAAUUUAAGAACAAGAUGAUGUACCUGUGCUGCAGAUUCCGCAGAAGAGAGUCAGGGAAAGAAUCAGCUUCAUCAUAAUGUGAAGAUUUGUUUUCCCAGAUAGUGACACUACACAUAAAUGUAUCCAUUUAUAUACUCUACAGAGACUGAAAAACAAAGACAGACAUCAGUUUCCCAUAAGCUCCUCCUUCAAAAAAGAAAAACGAUUACAGAUAAGCCGAUGAGGCAGUUUGGCCUACAGUGUUACUGCUACAGUAAGAGAUAUGACUGGAAUUUAAUUAUUAUUAUUAUCCAGAAUGAAGAUUAGUUAGUGGUUGUAUUGAUUAGUGG
rnacentral:lncRNA from 1 species